AAGCCCCUGAGAGCACAACUCCUCAUCAUGGAUUGGAGCUGGAGAAUCCUCUUUUUGAUGGCAGCAGCUACAGGUGUCCAAUCCCAGGUGCAACUGGUGCAGUCUGGGGCUGAAGUGAAGAAGCCUGGGACCUCAGUGAAGAUCUCCUGCAAGGCUUCUGGAUACACCUUCACAGAUUAUGAUAUGCACUGGGUGCGACAGUCCAAUGGAGAAGGGCUUGAGUGGAUGGGAUAUAUCAACCCUAGCAGUGGUGGAACAAGCUAUGCUCAGAAGUUCCAGGGCAGAGUCACCAUGACCAGGGACACAUCAACAAACACAGCCUACAUGGAGCUGAGCAGUUUGAGACCUGAGGAUUUGGCCAUGUAUUAUUGUGCGAGAGACACAGUGUAAAAACCUACAUCCUGAGAGUGUCAAAAACCCUGAGAUGAAAAGCAGCUG